GUUGCGGUUAAAACGCUCGUAGUCGAAUUCUUGCUAGGUGGUACUGGUGCUUCCCAGUGAAGUAUACGCGGUUUCCGCUUCAGCUAUUACUUGGGGAAGGUGCAUACGCUUCGGUGCGUGUCACACUAUCCAAGUCCUUACUUUGAGGAAAUGAGAGUGUUCCAAGCAGGCGCAUGCCUUGAAUAUGAUAGCAUGGAAUAACAGUAUGAGACCUCCUUUCAAAGUUGUUGGUUUUUUGGAAUUAGGAAAUGAAAACAUGGAUGGUUGGGGGUAUUCGUAUUUAACUGUCAGAGGUGAAAUUCUUGGAUUUUUUAAAGACAAACUAUUGCGAAGGCAUUUACCCAGGAUGUUCUCAUUGAUCAAGAACGAAAGUUAGGGGAUCGAAGACGAUCAGAUACCGUCCUAGUCUUAACCAUAAAA
rnacentral:rRNA from 1 species